rnacentral:rRNA from 1 species
CCUACGGGUGGCUGCAGUGAGGAAUAUUGGUCAAUGGCCGGAAGGCUGAACCAGCCAUGCCGCGUGAAGGACGACGGUGCCAAGCAUUGUAAACUUCUUUUGUACAGGGACAAAAUCAGACUCGAGAGCCUGACCGAGGGUACUUGACGAAAAAGCAUCGGCUAACUCCGUGCCAGCAGCCGCGGUAAUACGGAGGAUGCGAGCGUUAUCCGGAUUUAUUGGGUUUAAAGGGUGCGUAGGCGGGCUGUUAAGUCAGUGGUAAAAGCCCGGGGCUCAACCCCGGCGUGCCGUUGAAACUGGCUGUCUUGAGAUGUCGUGAGGUAUGCGGAAUGCGUGGUGUAGCGGUGAAAUGCAUAGAGAUCACGCAGAACUCCGAUUGCGAAGGCAGCAUACCGGCGCUUAACUGACGCUCAGGCACGAAAGUGUGGGUAGCGAACAGGAUUAGAUACCCCAGUAGUC